rnacentral:rRNA from 1 species
UACGGAGGGUGCGAGCGUUGUCCGGAUUUAUUGGGUUUAAAGGGUGCGUAGGCGGCCCGUUAAGUCAGCGGUGAAACCCCCGGGCUCAACCCGGGGAGUGCCGUUGAUACUGUCGGGCUUGGGUCGUCUCUGGGCGGGCGGAAUGGAAGGUGUAGCGGUGAAAUGCAUAGAUAUCUACCAGAACGCCGAAAGCGAAGGCAGCUCGCUGGGGACGUACCGACGCUGAGGCACGAUAGCGUGGGGAUCAAACAGG